rnacentral:rRNA from 1 species
UACGAGGGGAGCAAGCGUUGUUCGGAUUUACUGGGCGUAAAGGGCGCGUAGGCGGCCACGACAAGUCACUUGUGAAAUCUCCGGGCUUAACUCGGAACGGUCAAGUGAUACUGUCGGGCUAGAGUACAGAAGGGGCAACUGGAAUUCCGGGUGUAGCGGUGGAAUGCGUAGAGAUCCGGAAGAACACCGGUGGCGAAGGCGGUCUGCUGGGGUCGAACUGACGCUGAGGCGCGACAGCGUGGGGAGCAAACAGG